GCUAGGAUAGCUCAAUCGGUAGAGAAUGAGACUCUUAACCUCAGGAUUGUGGGUUCGAGCCUCACAAGGGGCA